CCCGGGACGCAGCCGCCCUCCGUCCAGGCCCCGGCUCGCCCUCCCAAGAAGAGCCCCUGGGUCUGCGGUGGAAGGUAACCCGAUCCUUCCAGUCGCCGGAAUGCAGCUUUCCCGCCUGGUGGCCGGGAGCCAGGCUGGCCUCGCUGAAGGACCCGCCCUGGCUUUCCAGGGGCCUCCUGGCCUAGAGCAUAACUUGCCAUCCACCUGCUCCCUUUCACCUUGAAGAGCGCACCUGUGCGUGAAGACCCGAGUUCUUUCGGGAGCCGCUGUUGAGAAGUCCCAGGACACACAAGGAAAACCCCUCAGAUGAGAGGCAGUGGAGCCCAGCAGUGACAGCGCGUCCAGAAAACAGCAGCCUUUGAGCACUCCUGUUGCUAAUCACUCCCGAGCCACGUUCCUGCUGGGAAUCGCUGUCCUCGCCAGGAUGUCAAGGGCUGCUGGGCACCUGUCCAUGGAGAUGAAGUGGAGCCGUCUUCCUGUUUCUCUUUUCUUCACUGUCAGCUGGCAAGGAGGGACGCAUUCCCGCGCUGCCCUUGCUGAGUGAGCGCUGCUGGUGAGGGACGAAGGGUCCCGGCUCCCCGUGAUUCCACCGGGAAAUGGAGCUGCCUGACUUAGGGCUGAGCCGCAGCAGCUGUGCCCGGGCCCGGAGGCAGGGCUGCUGGGAGCCUGAGCUUCUCUUACCUGCUAACAUAAAAGCAAGCAUCACCCAACAUUCUCGUUGGAACAACACUUAUCUGUCAGUUGGGGGCAAGCAUAGGUUGGCUAUAAAUACACAAGUUUGGCAAAAAUCAA